rnacentral:lncRNA from 1 species
GGCAGAUGGUUGCACAUGUGCGUGCAGGAAAGCAGAGUCUCAGCAGAGUCCCUGGCAGGACGCAAGGAGUGGGACCAGACCUGCUUUUCACGAGGAUAACAGGGAGCAGAGCAAAUGCUGUGUGAAUGCUGAUGAAAACUCCUUACAGAAAACUCUAUGGAGCGGAGGAACCUAGAGAUGAUGUGGAGCGGCCAGCAGGAGCUCUGCCUCUUUAGCUUCCUAGGUGAGAAGAGUCAGGGUAACAGAUCAAGCUGCACUGAAGAAAAAGGAAGACAGGAGCCUGGACACUAAGAAAGAGGUACCAUGGUCCCAGUGCAACAAGUAAGUAUGUGAAAGAACAUGCAAACGUAAAGGAGGACCCAGCUUACCCUCCCUCGAAGACAAUAUGGAUCAGAUAAAUAACCAGGAAAACAAUCUCCUUCACAGUAACCUCUU